rnacentral:rRNA from 1 species
GGAGUAUGUGGUUUAAUUCGAUGCAACGCGAAGAACCUUACCUGGCCUUGACAUCCCGGGAAUUCCUGGAAACAGGAGAGUGCUUUCAUUAGAGAGAACCUGGAGACAGGUGCUGCAUGGCUGUCGUCAGCUCGUGUCGUGAGAUGUUGGGUUAAGUCCCGCAACGAGCGCAACCCUUGCCUUUAGUUGCCAGCAGUUCGGCUGGGCACUCUAAAGGGACUGCCGGUGUCAAACCGGAGGAAGGUGGGAUGACGUCAAGUCCUCAUGGCCUUUAUGGCCAGGGCUACACACGUACUACAAUGGCCGGUACAAAGGGCAGCGACAUUGCGAGAUGGAGCGAAUCCCGAAAAGCCGGUCUCAGUCCGGAUUGGAGUCUGCAACUCGACUCCAUGAAGUUGGAAUCGCUAGUAAUCGCAGAUCAGCAUGCUGCGGUCGAAUACGUUCCCGGGCCUU